rnacentral:rRNA from 1 species
UGCAGUCGAGCGCGGGAAGCGAGCAGAAGCCCUUCGGGGUGGACGCUCGUGGAACGAGCGGCGGACGGGUGAGUAACACGUGGGCAACCUACCUGUGAGACGGGGAUAACUCCGGGAAACCGGGGCUAAUACCGGAUAACGCAUCGAACCGCAUGGUUCGAUGAUCAAAGAUGGCUUCUAGCUAUCACUCACAGAUGGGCCCGCGGCGCAUUAGUUAGUUGGUGGGGUAACGGCUCACCAAGGCGACGAUGCGUAGCCGACCUGAGAGGGUGAUCGGCCACACUGGGACUGAGACACGGCCCAGACUCCUACGGGAGGCAGCAGUAGGGAAUCAUCCGCAAUGGACGCAAGUCUGACGGUGCAACGCCGCGUGAGCGAUGAAGGUCUUCGGAUCGUAAAGCUCUGUUGUGAGGGAAGAACAAGUGCCGUUCGAAUAGGGCGGCACCUUGACGGUACCUCACCAGAAAGCCCCGGCUAACUACGUGCCAGCAGCCGCGGUAAUACGUAGGGGGCAAGCGUUGUCCGGAAUUAUUGGGCGUAAAGCGCGCGCAGGCGGUUCCUUAAGUCUGAUGUGAAAGGCCACAGCUCAACUGUGGAGGGCCAUUGGAAACUGGGGAACUUGAGGACAGAAGAGGAGAGCGGAAUUCCACGUGUAGCGGUGAAAUGCGUAGAUAUGUGGAGGAACACCAGUGGCGAAGGCGGCUCUCUGGUCUGUAACUGACGCUGAGGCGCGAAAGCAUGGGUAGCGAACAGGAUUAGAUACCCUGGUAGUCCAUGCCGUAAACGUUGAGUGCUAGGUGUUAGGGGGUCCAACCCUUAGUGCUGCAGUUAACGCAAUAAGCACUCCGCCUGGGGAGUACGGCCGCAAGGCUGAAACUCAAAGGAAUUGACGGGGGCCUGCACAAGCGGUGGAGCAUGUGGUUUAAUUCGACGCAACGCGAAGAACCUUACCAGGUCUUGACAUCUUCGGACAGCCCAAGAGAUUGGGUCUUCCCUUCGGGGACCGAAUGACAGGUGGUGCAUGGUUGUCGUCAGCUCGUGUCGUGAGAUGUUGGGGUUAAGUCCCGUAACGAGCGCAACCCCUGAUCUUAGUUGCCAGCAUUCAGUUGGG